UACGUAGGUGGCAAGCGUUGUCCGGAAUUAUUGGGCGUAAAGAGCUCGUAGGCGGUUCGUCGCGUCGGCUGUGAAAUCCCGAGGCUCAACCUCGGGUCUGCAGUCGAUACGGGCGGACUGGAGUUCGGCAGGGGAGACUGGAAUUCCUGGUGUAGCGGUGAAAUGCGCAGAUAUCAGGAGGAACACCCGGUGGCGAAGGCGGGCUC
rnacentral:rRNA from 1 species